GACGAACGCUGGCGGCGUGCCUAAUACAUGCAAGUAGAACUCUGAAGGGGGAGCUUGCUUCUCUGGAUGAGUUGCGAACGGGUGAGUAACGCGUAGGUAACCUGCCUGGUAGCGGGGGAUAACUAUUGGAAACGAUAGCUAAUACCGCAUAAGAGUAGAUGUUGCAUGACAUUUGCUUAAAAGGUGCAAUUGCAUCACUACCAGAUGGACCUGCGUUGUAUUAGCUAGUUGGUGGGGUAACGGCUUACCAAGGCGACGAUACAUAGCCGACCUGAGAGGGUGAUCGGCCACACUGGGACUGAGACACGGCCCAGACUCCUACGGGAGGCAGCAGUAGGGAAUCUUCGGCAAUGGACGGAAGUCUGACCGAGCAACGCCGCGUGAGUGAAGAAGGGUUUCGGAUCGUAAAGCUCUGUUGUAAGAGAAGAACGAGUGUGAGAGUGGAAAGUUCACACUGUGACGGUAUCUUACCAGAAAGGGACGGCUAACUACGUG
rnacentral:rRNA from 1 species